UCUGAGAGGAUGAUCAGCCACACUGGGACUGAGACACGGCCCAGACUCCUACGGGAGGCAGCAGUGGGGAAUAUUGGACAAUGGGCGAAAGCCUGAUCCAGCCAUGCCGCGUGUGUGAAGAAGGCCUUUUGGUUGUAAAGCACUUUAAGUGGGGAGGAAAAGCUUAUGGUUAAUACCCAUAAGCCCUGACGUUACCCACAGAAUAAGCACCGGCUAACUCUGUGCCAGCAGCCGCGGUAAUACAGAGGGUGCAAGCGUUAAUCGGAAUUACUGGGCGUAAAGCGCGCGUAGGUGGUUAUUUAAGUCAGAUGUGAAAGCCCCGGGCUUAACCUGGGAACUGCAUCUGAUACUGGAUAACUAGAGUAGGUGAGAGGGGAGUA
rnacentral:rRNA from 1 species